ensembl:rRNA 5S_rRNA 5S ribosomal RNA
GUCCAUUGCCAUACCACCCUGAACACGCUCGAUCUCAUCUGAUCUCACAAGCUAAGCAGGGUCAAGCCUGGUUAGUACUUGGUUGGGAGACCGCGUGGGACUACCAGGUGCUGUAGGGU